GAUUGGUCGAGCCACAUACAGUUGGCUGGUACCGAUAGGCCCACGUCACAAUGAUACCGUUCUUCUGGAAAAUUCGAGUAGGUGCAAAUGCAUCGUCGGAAUUAAUUUCUCUCGCUUGUUAAAAUGAAAAAACGAAUUAUUAUCUGUCUCGAUCACAGUACUAUCUGCGCCAGAGACAUGCGAGAUAUUCCGCUUUUUUAAUAAAUAAUCGCGUCAGUUUUCGGUGAUUCUGAUGCAACGUACGACACGCGUGCCGUGAAGCUUAACGGAAUAUCUAUACGUUUAUUCAAACAUUUGGUAAAAAAACUUGACACAUAUUCGUCGCACCAGAUACCGCUUUAAUUGUGAACAGACUAUUACACUUAAUCGUAUCGAGAAUGCUGCUAGUAUUUACUUUUCGGAUGUAACAUGUCUAAGAUCAAAGGUGUGAAGUACGUUAUAAUACAA